GGGCUUCGGCUCUGGGGACAGCGGCGAACGGGUGAGUAACACGUGAGUAAUCUGCCCUCGACACUGGGAUAGCCCGGGGAAACCCGGAUUAAUACCGGAUAGCCUUUCGAGCUCUCGGGCUCGUCAGAAAAGGAUGGCUUCGGCUUUCGGUUGAGGAUGAGCUUGCGGCGGAUUAGCUUGUUGGUGAGGUAACGGCUCACCAAGGCGACAAUCCGUAGCUGGUCUGAGAGGACGAUCAGCCACACUGGGACUGAGACACGGCCCAGACUCCUACGGGAGGCAGCAGUGGGGAAUCUUGCGCAAUGAGCGAAAGCUUGACGCAGCGACGCCGCGUGAGGGAAGAAGGCCUUCGGGUUGUAAACCUCUUUCAGGAGGGACGAAGCCGCUCGGGUUAAUACCCCAGAGGGUGACGGUACCUCCAGAAGAAGCCCCGGCUAACUACGUGCCAGCAGCCGCGGUAAUACGUAGGGGGCAAGCGUUGUCCGGAAUUAUUGGGCGUAAAGAGCGUGUAGGCGGCCAGGUAGGUCUGCUGUGAAAACUCGAGGCUCAACCUCGAGCUGUCGGUGGAAACCAUCUGGCUAGAGUCCGGAAGAGGAGAAUGGAAUUCCUGGUGUAGCGGUGAAAUGCGCAGAUAUCAGGAAGAACACCCGUGGCGAA
rnacentral:rRNA from 1 species